CGGGGCGCAGCAGGCGCGAAAACUCCGCAAUGUGCGCAAGCACGACGGGGGAACUCUGAGUGUCAAUGCCAUGCAUUGACUGUUUCUAAUCCUAAAAAGCUUAGAGAGUAAGGGCUGGGUAAGACGAGUGCCAGCCGCCGCGGUAACACUCGCAGCCCAAGUGGUAAUCGUUAUUAUUGAGCCUAAAAUGUUCGUAGCUGGUUUGCUAAAUGCAUAGAUAAAACGAAGGGCUUAACUUUUCGAUUUCUAUGCAGACUAGCAGACUUGAGAUCGGGAGAGGUCAGAGGUACUCUAAGGGGAGGGGUGAAAUCCUAUAAUCCUUAGGGGACCAACAGCGGCGAAGGCGUCUGACUAGAACGAGUCUGACAGUGAGGGACGAAGCCCUGGGGCGCAAACGGGAUUAGAUACCCCGGUAGUCCAGGGUGUAAACGCUGCCUGCUUAGUGUUAGAUAUUCUUUAUGGGUGUCUAGUGCUGGAGAGAAGUUGUUAAGCAGGCUGCUUGGGGAGUAUGGUCGCAAGGCUGAAACUUAAAGGAAUUGGCGGGGGAGCACCGCAACGGGAGGAGCGUGCGGUUUAAUUGGAUUCAACGCCGGAAAGUUCACCAGAGGAGACUACCGCAUGAGGGCCAGGCUGAAGACCUUGCUCGAUCAAUAGGUAGAGAGGUGGUGCAUGGCCGCCGUCAGUUCGUACCGUAAGGCGUUCUGUUAAGUCAGACAACGAACGAGACCUCUGUCUCUAGUUGCUAAUUGUCUCUCCGGAGAUGGUGCACACUAGAGAGACCGCUUGCGCUAAGCAAGAGGAAGGAGGAGGCAACGGCAGGUCAGUAUGCCCCGAAUCUUCUGGGCUACACGCGCGCUACAAAGGUUAGGACAAUAGGUUCCUUCACCGAGAGGUGAGGGCAAUCCCGAAACCUAAUCGUGGUUCAGAUUGAGGAUUGAAACUCAUCCUCAUGAAGCUGGAUUCCGUAGUAAUCGCGGGUCAGCAUCCCGCGGUGAAUGUGCCCCUGCUCCUUGCACACACCGCCCGUCAAGCCACGUGAGCAAGGUCUGAGUGAGGAUAAAGAUUCUUGCUUUGUUCAAACUCAGGUUUUGCAAGUGGGGCUAAGUCGUAACAAGGUAUCUGUAGGGGAACCUGCAGAUGGAUCACCUCCUAAG
rnacentral:rRNA from 1 species